GUGGCUGAAGAGUCCAAUUAGAUUGUGACUCUCGUGAGGAGUCCCACUUGGACUAAGACUCUGGAAGAGAGUUCCACUGGAUUGAAACUCUAUUAUUAAUAAAAAACUAAUUAGUAAUUAGAUUAUUAAUUAUCUUAAUUUGAUUAAACAAAGAGCUUUGCAUCAAGUCUAAUUGAAUUAGAUUCAGUUCGACUUAGAUUGGGUUUGAUAUGAUCA
rnacentral:lncRNA from 1 species